rnacentral:rRNA from 1 species
CAGUCGCCGCGGGAAUACGUAGGUCCCGAGCGUUGUCCGGAUUUAUUGGGCAUAAAGCGAGCGCAGGCGGUUAGAUAAGUCUGAAGUUGAAGGCUGUGGCUUAACCAUAGUACGCUUUGGAAACUGUUUAACUUGAGUGCAAGAGGGGAGAGUGGAAUUCCAUGUGUAGCGGUGAAAUGCGUAGAUAUAUGGAGGAACACCGGUGGCGAAAGCGGCUCUCUGGCUUGUAACUGACGCUGAGGCUCGAAAGCGUGGGUAGCAAACAGGAUUAGAUACCCGCGUAGUCCCUGUCUCUUAUACC